rnacentral:lncRNA from 1 species
UAAGAAAGAAAAAAAUAAGGUUGCUGGAUCUUGGCUUCAUUGUUGAUGGUGGAUGUUGGAACCAUCUAUCUUAAUCAAGAUAGAGGCUGCUGAAGAGACAGAGGAAAUUAUUGGUCUGUUUUGGCUUUUUUGAUAAGAGGCAAUGCUGGAUGGCUGGACGAUAAGCUUACAGUUGAAGAUGAAAUGAAACUGAGGGGCUAAGGUCUAUGUUUUUGCAAGGAGGAGUUAAGAGGAAAAC